GACGAACGCUGGCGGCGUGCUUAACACAUGCAAGUCGAACGGAAAGGCCCUGCUUUUGUGGGGUGCUCGAGUGGCGAACGGGUGAGUAACACGUGAGUAACCUGCCCUUGACUUUGGGAUAACUUCAGGAAACUGGGGCUAAUACCGGAUAGGAGCUCCUGCUGCAUGUUGGGGGUUGGAAAGUUUCGGCGGUUGGGGAUGGACUCGCGGCUUAUCAGCUUGUUGGUGGGGUAGUGGCUUACCAAGGCUUUGACGGGUAGCCGGCCUGAGAGGGUGACCGGCCACAUUGGGACUGAGAUACGGCCCAGACUCCUACGGGAGGCAGCAGUGGGGAAUAUUGCACAAUGGGCGGAAGCCUGAUGCAGAAACGCCGCGUGCGGGAUGACGGCCUUCGGGUUGUAAACCGCUUUCGCCUGUGACGAAGCGUGAGUGACGGUAAUGGGUAAAGAAGCACCGGCUAACUACGUG
rnacentral:rRNA from 1 species